rnacentral:lncRNA from 1 species
UAUUUGAGCCGCAUGCAGCUCAAGCGGAGGACCCCUACCAUCACGAGGACUGGGUAAGUACAGUGCCACUUUAACCAGACACUUUUACUUUUAUUUGCUUGGAAUACAUUUUACAGCAUAAAUAUUAUUUAAGGAUUGAUACCAGCUGUCAUAGUUCUUGUUUUGUGAGAUUCAAUGUAUCUAAAUCUAAAGAUAACAAUAAAUACUUCUUUGCAACAAUAGAUGGAGGUUUUUAACUUGACUAGUUUACUGUAAAUGUUUGGAAGGAUUUUUAGGGGUGUCAAAACAACCCCACUCUUUAUUUGGUGGAAAAAAAAAUAGUAUCAGCUAUGUACAGUGUAAGAGUGUAAUGUUCACUACUUUAGCCCAGGACUAAAGAAGAUAAGAUAUAAGAGAAACAUUAAUAGGCACAUAAUGUGUAAAUGUUGGUCUUACAGGACUUUUAAACUCUAAGCAUUUUUGUAUGUUGAUGGAUUGUGACACACUGCUUCCUACCAGGGGUGGGUGAUCCAUCAGGGCACUUAUGACUCCACUUAUCAUAAUAAAACUAAAAUAAAUCUAUUGGUUGUGGUGAAAUAGUAAACUACUAACAAUGCGUCCCUGAGGAGAGAUUUAUCUUGUAAAUUUCCUUUCUAAAUGUUAAUUACACAUCACUCAGUACUACAAAACGUUAAAGGGUUACUCCAACCAAAAAACAGUGUUUUAAUGAAACACUGACUCAAGCUAAGAGUAACUCUUACUACUCUGACCCCGCUCCGGUAAAAAAAGAAGAAUAUAGCUCUUACUUGCCAAGUUCUCCCAACAGCGUGAUUCUCCUCCAGGGAUGUCACUCUCCCUGAAUGGAUGUCAUCAUUAUACACUUUAACCCUGUGACUGGUGACAGAUCCUAUUUAAUCUCCUCUCGCAGUUUGUAUCUGUUGACAUCACUAACAUAUUAUACCAUAUUCUUUAAAAGCUGGCAGAAAACGCAUUUUGUUCCUAUGUCUUUAAGGGAGAUUUUUAGAAGUCACUUAUCAGUCUAAGACUUUUAUUUUGCUGAAGUAGUUCCACCUCUUGGUCCUUCUGAUCCAUUUCAUGAUACAAUUUGAGUUUAGAAGCAAUUUAUUUCUGCAGUGCCUGUUUUUCUUCUUCUAGUAGAUGGUUACUGACUUGAAAGAGCUUUAUUUCUGAACUCUGUGACUUGACUUUCCUAUUUAUCACGUUUCCAGAAAGAUAUUGUUUUUCACAGCUUUUACAAUAGAUCUUUCUUUUUAAACUCUGCAGCAUGACUGUUUAUUGUUCUUUAAUACAGACAUAGCUUUCACUGUUCCUAUGAUGGAGAUCUUGCCUAAUUCCAUGCCACGCCACAAUUUGGACAAAGCCAGAGUGCACCAACAUCAUUUCAAAGCACUUAUUUUUCUAACAUAAUUGCAAAUGCUAUGCAUGGAUUUUUCAUUUUUAAUGGCUUUCAUGUAUCUUAUAUUUUUUUGUUUGUUUUAGCUAUUAGAAUAAAAGUAUUAAAACGGCUCAUAUAUUUCAGACAUUGUUGACUACAGAGCUGAUCCUAGGCUUACGGAUGCCUGGGUGCAGACAUUUUGUUUGGCGUCCCCAGUUGGGCAUGGCCAUAUUGCUUACUCCUCCCCUUUACAAAUGUUUGUAUCUUUGAAUGUAAGUAUGUUUUUUGUAUGGAGUAUGUUGAAUGUAGUGUUGCCGUUUGAAUGCAAGUGGGCAUCUGUGUGUAGUGUAGUUUUUUAAUGCAGUGGUGUGUUUAUAUAUAACUUUGGUUUUUAAUACAGAGGUUUUUUUACAGGUGUUUUUUGUAAUGCUGACAUUUGAAUGCAAGGGUAUGUUUGUAUGUAGUGUUGGUGUUUGAAUGCUGAAAUGUAUAACACAUACACUGCCACACACAGAGAUACACACACUGACACACAUACAGAUAUGCAGACACACAGAUAUAUACACUGACACACAGAUAUACCAUAAUUGACACACAUACAGAUACACAUACUAAUAGCAUACACACAGAUAUUGUCACAGCUUACCUGAGAUGGCAGUCCAGUAGGCAGAGAUUUGUGCUCACCCUUGCAGAUAUACACAGUCCAAGGUGAUAAGGUUAGAAACCACCAGGACCGUGAAUCUGUGCACCGGGGCUGUGCUUUCAUGGUCCUCCAAUUCGCAGUACAGACAAGGACACAAGCAGAAGGAUCAUCGAGGAUAAGCCAAAGUCAGAGGAUGCCAGAGGUCAGGAUAAACAAAGAGGAAAGCCAAGGUCAGGUGCUGGGGUCAAUCUGGAGAACAAGUAUCAGGAGACAAAACAGGAACAACACACGAUCACCAGAAUCAAAGAACUGACAAUGUUCUCAUGGUUAGCCAGGUUUAAAUACCUUGCUAAUAAACUUUUUUCCUCACAGGAGCAGCCACAGGUAAAGUCCAGCCCCCUAGUGCUGCAGACAAGGCAGGAUAGGACAACAGGCAGAAACAUGAACUGAAGUGUGGCUCAGAGGUAAGACAGCAAGAGUCCAGAGUUCAAAUCCCCUUUUUGGCACCUGUGGAACGGCCACACCUGGCUGUCUGGAUGUCACGGUGAGAACCGUGACAGGUGUGCACAUUGACACACAGAUAUACACUGACACAAAUACAGAUAGAUAAAUACACACACAUGUGGAUACAGAUACACACACUGACACACAUACAGAUAGACAGAAAAACAGAUACAAAAACUGACACACAUGCAGAUACACAGACACAUAGAAACACACACUGGCACAAAUGCAGAUAUACAGAUACACACACUGACAGCAUACAGAUACAUACUGCCACACAUAGAUAUACACCCAAAUUAUUGUGCAAAUUCUAUUUAAGUCUCACAAAGAUUAUAUAUUUUGUUUUUCAGUUUAACUCAUGGAUGGCAUUGUGUCUCAGGGCUCUUUUGAUCACUGAAAACAAUUUCAGACACCUGUGAUAAUUAGAUUGCCAGGUGAGCCCAAUUUAAGGAAAAACUACUAAAGGAGGUUGUUCCAAAUUAUUAAGCAGAGCACCAUUUUCAUGCAAUAUGGGGAAGAAAAAGGAUCUCUUUGCUGCUGAAAAGAGUGAAAUAGUUCAAUGCCUUGGACGAGGUAUGAAAACAUUAGAUAUUUCACGAAAACUUAAGCAUGAUCAUCGCACUAUUAAGAGCUUUGUGGCUGAUUCAGAGCACAGAUGGGUUAGUGCAGAUAAAGGCACAUUGAUGAAGAUUUCUGACAGAUCCAUGCAUCGAAUCAAGAGAGCAGCUGCUAAAAAACCAUUACAUAGCAGCAAACAGAUAUUUGAAGCUGCUGGUGCCUUUGGAGUCCCAUGG